UAUGGCGUCACUGUGCGGCGUGCGCAUGCGCGGGGGGACAUUUUUAUCGAGGGCUGUGUAAUCUCGGAGACACGUCAUGAAGCAAGAACAGGGAGGGUUUCAGCAUUUUCACUGACAACGACAGAAUAUCAGAAUUAGCAGCAAAUAACGUUAACAUGGGUGCAAAAAACGUUGUGUAACGGACAGGCUUCAGUCAUGUACCGAAGGGCGGACCAUCUGAAAAGGCAGAAUUCAGAUCUGCAGGCUGACAGAAGGGAGGAACUUUGUCUGCUGCCCUCAGCACCUCGCUUAUAAAUUCUACCCACCAACUGCAGUUCUUCCAACAGUUUUAGAAGCAUGGC
rnacentral:lncRNA from 1 species